AGGUUCUAGAAAUUAUAGAUGAUGUAAAAUCGGAUCUCCGUAAAAUAAAGAAUGGAGGUUUAGAUGAUAUUAGUGAUACAUUACUUAAAGAUUACCAGAAACGAAAGCUUGUUGAGACAAUGUAAGGAUUGGUUUGUAAUAAUCUGUUUGGAGUUAUACACUAGCUUGUUGUUUGUCUUGUCAUGUGCAAUGUUUCUGCCAUGUUCUAAGCAACAGUUAAAAUUUUGACUUUAAUUUUAGACUAAUAAAGAAGUAUGUUGUAAAAAAAGGAGCAAACUUUAGUACAACAGCAAGUAAAUUAUCCGCAGAUUUGACAGCAGAUAUGUUGGCAAGGUAAUAUUAUUUUUCGUACUUUUCUACAACUAACGUAUUGCCAUAACCGCAAACCAAGUGACGUCACAACUAGGUUCCAGUCUCAUUCUAACUGGCUGCCCAAAACGGCAUGUAGUAAAACACUGACUACCGGAACACC
rnacentral:lncRNA from 1 species